CGCGCUUACCAGAAGCUCCGGUUAUAUACGUCUCCUCCUCCUCCUCUUCCUCUUCUUCUUCAUCUCCUUCUUCUUCCUCUUCAUCAUCAUCGUCUCUCGAAGCUUCCAACAAUCAACGUCAGCUCGCCAAGUUCCGCGACCUCCUCGUGCAGGAAAAGCGAAAAUGAGCCGCCGUUCUAGCUGCACAAUCUACGUCGGGAAUCUGCCGGGGGAUGUCCGGAAUAGAGAAGUUGAAGACUUGUUCUACAAGUAUGGGCCCAUUGUCGACAUUGAUUUGAAGAUCCCUCCCAGACCACCAGGUUAUGCUUUUGUUGAGUUUGAAGACCCUCGUGAUGCUGAAGAUGCGAUUCGUGGUCGUGAUGGAUGUAAGUUUGAUGGGUACCGUCUGCGAGUUGAGCUGGCACAUGGUGGGCGAGGAUAUUCUUCAUCUGUGGACCGGUAUGGAAGCUACAGUGGCAGCGGAAGUAGCCGUGGAGGAGUUGGCAGGCACUCUGACUAUCGUGUUUUGGUCACUGGAUUGCCUUCUUCGGCAUCAUGGCAGGACCUGAAGGAUCACAUGCGUCGGGCAGGAGAUGUCUGUUUUUCUGAAGUAUUCCGUGAUCGUGAUGGUGUUACUGGAAUUGUUGAUUACACAAACUAUGAUGACAUGAAAUAUGCCAUCAAGAAACUUGAUGACACUUUAUUCAGGAAUGCCUUCAGUCGGGCUUAUAUACGGGUAAGAGAGUAUGAUUCAAGGAGGAGUUACUCUAGGAGUCCCAGUCGCAGCCCUAGCUACAGUGACAGAAGCAGAAGUAGGUCUCCUAGGAAAAAAUACUCAAGACGUUCUCCAUCAGUAUCUCCAGCAAGGUCUGUCUCUUCUAGAUCCCGCUCAGGGUCUUAUGCUCGCUCUUACUCAAGAUCAGGAAUCUUCUGGCAUCCUGGGGAUCCCUCAUAAGGACCUUCAUGGGAUGUGGUGCUACUCUGUAAGUUGUUGAGGUAAAAUCCUGUUUUGUAAUGAGUGGCUACAGAACUGGAACUACACCAAUGCUGAAUUAAUAGUAAAACAUGGCAUGCCAUCUGGCACUGGGUGUUCUCUGAGUCUGUCGUGCGUGGAUGUGAUGAUUUCAAGAUAGAUUCUAAUGCGAUGCAGCUGGUAUUACGGAUCAGCAAUGCAUGUUAACAUCCAGAAACCAGGCUUGACUCUCUGUCGGUGACUCAAAAAUUUAGGUUUAUUGUAGUGUAAGCGACAGUGAAAGGAAAUCUAUUCUUCUCCUGCUGGAAGAGGAUAAUGCUUUGGGUUCUCUAUGGAAAUUUGACUAUGUCAAACGUGAGGCUGUUGAAUGCUGAGCCUGAUCAUACUCAGAGGUCUCAAAGUGUUUUAAGUGGUUUACUAUGGUAUUAAUAUCUGGACACUUUUGCAGAUCUCAUUCAAGAUCAAGAACUCCGCUGUCACCUGCUCCUCGCGGAAAACGUGCAGGUCGAA